rnacentral:lncRNA from 1 species
GGACAAGUUGGUGUCCAGCACAUCAGACCUGCCAAAACGCCUAGCCUCCCGAAAGUGUGUGUCUCCUGAGGAGUUCACAGAAAUAAUGAACCAAAGAGAGCAAUUCUACCAUAAGGUGAAUUUCUCCCCACCUGGUGACACAAACAGCCUUUUCCCAGGUACUUGGUACCUGGAGCGAGUGGACGAGCAGCAUCGCCGAAAGUAUGCCCGGCGUCCCGUCUAAAGGUGAUCCAUGGAAAGCUUCCUGGGAAACGUAUGCUAGCAGAGCUUCUCCCCGUGAAUCAUAUUUUUAAGAUCCCACUCUUAGCUGGUAAAUGAAUUUGAAUCGACAUAGUAGCCCCAUAAGCAUCAGCCCUGUAGAGUGAGGAGCCAUCUCUAGCGGGCCCUUCAUUCCUCUCCAUGCUGCAAUCACUGUCCUGGGCUUAUGGUGCUAUGGACUAGGGGUCCUUUGUGAAAGAGCAAGAUGGAGCAAUGGAGAGAAGACCUCUUCCUGAAUCACUGGACUCCAGAAAUGUGCAUGCAGAUCAGCUGUUGCCUUCAAGAUCCAGAUAAACUUUCCUGUCAUGUGUUAGAACUUUAUUAUUAUUAAUAUUGUUAAACUUCUGUGCUGUUCCUGUGAAUCUCCAAAUUUUGUACCUUGUUCUAAGCUAAUAUAUAGCAAUUAAAAAGAGAGAAAGAG